UGAAUUUUGCCCUCUACGGUUAACAAGUAAUCGCAUAGUUCCUCGUAAAAUUAAGGUCUAAUAUCACUUGUGUUUUCAAACUUGUGAAACUUUGAAAACACGAGUGAAAUUAAACCUUAAUUUUACGAGGAACUAUGCGAUUUUUGCGAUUACUUGUUAAUCGUAGAGGGCAAAAUUUA